GUGCUUGCUUGGGCAGCACAUAUACUAAAAUUAGAAAGAUACAGAGAGGAUUAGUAUGGCCCCUGCACAAGGAUGACAUGCAAAUUCAUGAAGUGUUCCAUAUUUAA